GAACGUGGUGGAACGUGGAAUCCUUUAUAAAAGAGCCUUAACUUUUCAUGCUCAUUUCAUGUAUUGUUCUUCUAGAACUAGCAGGUGCUGAAAUGUUGUUCUUCAUAGAGGGAACGGUCCAGCUGGUAAGUUCUCUCCACCUCAUAUUUCCUUCAAGAUAAAUGAGCAGACUCUCUAAAAGUUGACGGAUGUUUCCAGCAUCAAUGUUCCACAGAUGUUACAAGAAGUGGAAAAGAUGAGUUGCUGCUGGCGAGACAACACGCCCUGUUCUGUGAAGAGGUGCAGCAGAUGUGACAUUUAUGUUUUGUAAGUUUAUUUCUUCAUUUGUAUUUUUUAUUUCUGAGAAAUUCACAGUUUAGCUUUGUAUAAAUUCAGCGUAUGGAUUAAGAAGCAGGACGUCUUCUUUAAAUCAGACAAUCAUCUGUGGUUUGCUCAAUAUCUUCAUUUUUAAUAUCAGGUGACGUAAACAAAUCUGGAGGAAGUGAGUGUGUGCUUGUGUGUGUGUGUGUGUGUGUGUGUGUACGUUUUAUUUCAUGUUGUUGAUUGUGUGGGCUUCACUGCUGCAAGUGUUUGUUGCACAUAAUGUACGACGGUAACUCAACCUCGCCUCUCCCUCUCUCUCUCUCUCUCUCAUUAAGGGUGCGUUUGUUUCAGGGCGUCUUCACUUUUUUCACGCUUUCACUCCCCAGCUGUGAUCGGACCAGAACAUUUCCUCAUGUUUCUGUAACAGUCUCUGAUGAAGUGCUUGUGUCCAAAUGAACACACCUCCAAGUCUUGAAUAGACAAUAUUUGAUGUUUUAUAUGCAGGGAAAAUCUUUGAGUCAUCACUCACUCUGAAACACAUUCAAUGAGACAAAACAAAAGCCCUGUGGAGGUCUUCAUGGAGGAGGUCUUCAUGGAGGAGGUUGAGGAGGCCUCGGUGCGCCCCGAACAGACGUGAUCAAUGGAGACGUGUGGAGGGAAGAGGAGGCCUCAAAGGAGAGGAAGGCAAUGCGCUGUUAUUGUGAUUAUUGAUGCUUUAAAAUCAAUUAGCUUUGUCCUCUGUCAAGAAAUGCUCUAUUAGUUCAUUGAAUCUGGAAGAAGAACAGUGACUCCUAGAGGUACGGUAAAGGGUAACCCUUUUGUGUCAGCAUCAAGCAGCAUGGCGCUCUGUGCCUGUAUCUUCAGGGCUUAUUGAACAUGUGUCUUCAUCGUCAUCACUGCCUCCGAGUGGCAAUGAGCUGUGAGGAGGAGGAGGAACACUGAGAUGAUUCGCUGGUGUGUUCGGCCUGUCGUUGCCUGCCUGUCCGGAUCGGUUUUUCCUCUCCUGUGUUCGUAACGCCACCCCACGCCUACUCAGGGUGUGUCCAUGUCUGUCCUCGCUGCGUCCUCUUCCAUCCGCUGCACGUGUGUGUGUGUGUGUGUGUGUGUGAGAUCGGGCUGUUACCCCCUUGCUUUCGAUUGUGUCUGUCUGAGAAGGUGACUCACGUGCGCGGCUAAUCGCGGCGGCUUUACCUGAGAUCAGCGCUCAUUGUUGCCCGUGUGGAGAAAGGAGAGGCCGCGAGACGGAGCUCCCAGAAUCAAUGGGACCUCAGAAGCCGUCUGGCUCGCGGCCCUUGUUUCCCAAUGAGACCGCAGACAGGGCGAAGCGGGUCGAUAUUAAAAACCCGAUAGAGGGAUCAUCGUUUUCAAUUCAUUAACAGACGCAGGGGAAACAAUUAGGAGCGUUCACCUCAUUGCUGCGGUUAUGAGGGUAGAAAAAGGGUUUUUGGAUAUUUUAGGGUUGGAUCACGUUAAGAGCACUGAAGGAAAUGUCCCUUUAGCUUAGACAAUAAGCUGGGUGGUUGAGCUGAAGUUCUAUGGAAAAGCCGUAGUUUGUGCUUUCAGAGGAUUAACGGAGCUUUAAUACGCCGUCCACACCCAAACACAGAGUAAUGCGCUGGUCAACAUACAGGAUCCUGCAACGGUCUUCAUCUGCACAGGACAACGAGAUGUU
ensembl:lncRNA